rnacentral:piRNA from 1 species
UGGGCAGACCUGACAGUGCAGCGUGGAGAU